rnacentral:rRNA from 1 species
CCUACGGGUGGCAGCAGUCGAGAAUCAUUCACAAUGGGGGAAACCCUGAUGGUGCGACGCCGCGUGGGGGAAUGAAGGUCUUCGGAUUGUAAACCCCUGUCAUGUGGGAGCAAAUUAAAAAGAUAGUACCACAAGAGGAAGAGACGGCUAACUCUGUGCCAGCAGCCGCGGUAAUACAGAGGUCUCAAGCGUUGUUCGGAGUCACUGGGCGGAAGGCGUGCGCAGGCUGUUUCGUAAGUCGUGUGUGAAAGGCGCGGGCUCAACCCGCGGACGGCACAUGUUACUGCGAGACUAGAGUGACGGAGGGGGAACCGGAAUUCUCGGUGUAGCCGUGAAAUGCGUAGAUAUCGAGAGGAACACUCGUGGCGAAGGCGGGUUCCUGGACAUUAACUGACGCUGAGGCACGAAGGCCAGGGGAGCGAAAGGGAUUAGAUACCCUUGUAGUC